rnacentral:lncRNA from 1 species
GAAUUGUUGGGUGAAGAGUUGACUGAGAAGUUCAUACCCUCACACUUGAUUUGUCCACUAACCAACAAGAUGUUUGUUGACCCAGUGAAGAACCAGGAGGGAACCGUGUACGAGCGAAAGGCCAUUGAGAAACAUCUGAAGAGGUAAGCUGGUUAUUCAUAUUGAUAAGUCGUUAUUUAUGAUUCAUAAUUAACGUGUUACUUUUAUAAAGUAAUCCAAAAAUAUUAAGCAAAUGUCGUUAUGUGCGUUUUUUUCAUCGGCUGCUUCUGAGUUUGUUUAAACACAGGUCACAUUCAUGUAAUUCUUAAUUCUUUCCUUACUUAGAUUUAUGUGUAUUUGAGUAUAUGUUGUGAAACUGUUAGAUAUUGCUGAACUGUUGGAGCUAGAAACACAAACAUUUCGCUACACCUGCAAUAACAUCUGCUAAACACGUGUAUGUGACCAAUAACAUUUGAUUUGAUUUGUAUUAAUUGUGGGCUCAAAUAUUAGCAAAUGACUGUUAGUUUAUUUAUAAAAUAAAUGUUUCUCAUCCCUUGCAUGCAGAACUGAAAUAACACAUUGCUAGCAACUAUGUGACAGUUCGGUGUCAGUAGUUUUUGUGUCUUAUUGCAAUAGGCUUAGACAUUUAACUGAUUGACAAUUCUUCAAACAGGAAAGUCUUCACCUACUGUAAAAAUGUAAAAUGAAUUAACUAAUUCAAUGAAUUAUUUGACCACUAUUUUUUGAGAAUGGUUUACUGUCUUCCCAACUUUUACAGGACAUGGAUUGGGACUGAUCCCAAAACAAACAAGUUACUGACAUUAACUGACCUCAAGCCAUACCAAGACAUGAGAAAAAUGAAACCGAGAUACAAAAACAGAACAUUCGAGAAGACGUAAGGACAACAUCUAACAAGAUGGAUAAGAUAUUCAAUAUUCUCCAGCGGCACAGACUGGAGACCUACUACGAUAAAUUCCGCACGUUUGGUGUCAAAGAUGAGAGAGAUUUCGUUGAAGACAUAACUGGUGAAGAUCUAGUCAACAUGGGUUUUACUCAAAUAGAGAAGAAUCGCUUUGAAAAAAUGAAAGUUUUCAUUCAAAGACUCAAAGCGCCACAGCAAGCGAUGCCUGUACAAAAAUCUAUGGAGGCUUUCCAACUGCGGUACACAUACCCCCACUGUCCUGAGCUAAAAGAGAUCACAGACAUGGAUCCUGCUACAAACACCGUUGAAGAUCUGAUGCUAAGGAUCUGUCACCAAGAGGGCAUUGAGAACUCUAAAGCUGUGUGCCUCUACACCGUUGAUGGAAUGCCUUUAACUGAUGAUCCUUUCUUUAACACAUGGUCUUUGAAAGACAGGCACAUUGAAAAUGGAAGUGAGCUCUAUGCCAUGUUUACACCCAAGGAGAAUUUGAAACAAGCCCCCCAAAUGCCACUGCAAGAGAUGACUGACAUGACAGGAGAGGAUAAUGUUCGAUGCCACAUCAUGCUCAAGGUGAAUUCCUCUUUACAUUGGUCUAAUUCUGUUGGUUUGACAUGA